rnacentral:rRNA from 1 species
CGGUGUUUAACUGGCGUGAUGUGGGACGUCCUACCGGUGGGCUUAGCCUCGCGAGGGGCGGCCCAACUAAUAUCCCGUCGCGGUGCUCUUUACUGAGUGUCGAGUCGGGCCGGUACGUUUACUUUGAACAAAUUAGAGUGCUUAAAGCAGGCUAUCCUCGCCUGAAUACUGCGUGCAUGGAAUAAUGGAAUAGGACCUCGGUUCUAUUUUGUUGGUUUUCGGAACCCCGAGGUAAUGAUUAAUAGGGACAGAUGGGGGCAUUCGUAUUGCGACGUUAGAGGUGAAAUUCUUGGAUCGUCGCAAGACGGACAGAAGCGAAAGCAUUUGCCAAAAAUGUUUUCAUUAAUCAAGAACGAAAGUUAGAGGUUCGAAGGCGAUCAGAUACCGCCCUAGUUCUAACCAUAAACGAUGCCAGCUAGCGAUCCGCCGAAGUUCCUCCGAUGACUCGGCGGGCAGCUUCCGGGAAACCAAAGCUUUUGGGUUCCGGGGGAAGUAUGGUUGCAAAGCUGAAACUUAAAGGAAUUGACGGAAGGGCACCCCCCGGAGUGGGAGCCUGCGGGCUUAAUUUGACUCAACACGGGAAACCUCACCAGGCCCAGACACCGGAAGGAUUGACAGAUUGAUAGCUCUUUCUUGAUUCGGUGGGUGGUGGUGCAUGGCCGUUCUUAGUUGGUGGAGCGAUUUGUCUGGUUAAUUCCGAUAACGAACGAGACUCUAGCCUGCUAAAUAGGCGUACCUUAUGGUAUCGCGAAGGCCCCCGGCUUCGGCCGGUGGGUUUUUACUACCAACGUACAAACAAAUCUUUUUAGAGGGACAGGCGG